rnacentral:lncRNA from 10 species
UUCUGAAUCCAGGAAGAGAAACUGACUGGGCAACAUGUUAUUCAGACUUCUGACCAAAUGUGUGUGCAGAGUUUCUACACCAGUUCUCCAACUCUCUGGAUACCAACCGCGUAUCCCACAAUUCCAUUCUGACACUACCUAGAGUUAGCGCAGAACCCACAGGUUAGGGGCUCAGUCCCACAAGACCACUCUCACUUCAGAUGCCAGUUGCAAGUCCUAGGUUGUCACCUGUAUUUUGACCAACCAGUUAGAAAUCAGGGUUUCCCAUGACCCUCUUCUUGAGUUUAAUUAUUUACUAGAACAACUCACAGAACUUAGAAAAACAGGUUUUUUUCUUUCCUUUUUAAGAGACAGGGCCUCGCUCUGUUGUCCAGGCUGGUGUGCAGUGGUGCAAUCAUUGCUCAUUGAAGCCUCAACCUCCAGGGCUCAAGUGAUUCUCCUGCUGCAGCCUCUCAAGUAGCUGGAAUUACAGGGUUCCCACCACCACAUUUGGCUAAUUUCUUUUAUUUUUUGUAUAGACGGGGUCCUCUUAUGUUGCCCAGGCUGGUCUCAAAUUCCUAGGCUCAAGUGAUUCCGCCCACCUCUGCCUCCCAAAGUGCUGGGAUUACGGGCAUGAGCCAGCGCAUCUGGCCACCUUAUUUUCUGUUACUGGCUCAGUGUAAUGGCUCCAUCUCAGGAACAGCCAAUGAAAGAGAUGCACAGGACAAGAGAUGGGACCUCAGUAUGUUGCCACGGCUGACCUUGAACUCCUGCACUCAAGGGAUUUUCCUGCCCUGGCCUCCCAAAGUAUUGGUAUUACAGGCAUGAGCCAUUGUGCCCACCGUCUC